rnacentral:rRNA from 1 species
UACGUAGGGAGCCAGCGUUGUCCGGAUUUACUGGGCGUAAAGAGCGCGUAGGCGGUUUUGUAAGCGGAGGGUGAAAUCUCGGGGCUCAACUCCGAGGCUGCUUUCCGAACUGCAAGACUAGAGUACGGGAGAGGAUAGUGGAAUUCCUGGUGUAGCGGUGGAAUGCGUAAAUAUCAGGAGGAACACCCGUGGCGAAGGCUGCUAUCUGGAACGUUACUGACGCUGAGGCGCGAAAGCUAGGGGAGCGAACGGG